rnacentral:rRNA from 1 species
AUCAAUGAACCAAGUUACCCUGGGGAUAACAGCGCAAUCCAUUUCAAGAGCCCCUAUCGACAAAUGGGUUUACGACCUCGAUGUUGGAUCAGGGUACCCCAGUGGUGCAGCAGCUACUAACGGUUCGUUUGUUCAACGAUUAAAACCCU